AGAUUGAACGCUAGCGGCAUGCCUAACACAUGCAAGUCGAACGGUAACAGGCCCUUCGGGGUGCUGACGAGUGGCGGACGGGUGAGUAAUGCGUAGGAAUCUACCCACGAGUGGGGGAUAGCCCGGAGAAAUCCGGAUUAAUACCGCAUAUGCCCUACGGGGUAAAGCGGGGGAUCGUAAGACCUCGCGCUGGUGGAUGAGCCUACGUCCGAUUAGUCUAGUUGGGUAGGGGUAACCGGCCUAACCGAAGGCGACGAGUCGGUAGCGUGGUCU
rnacentral:rRNA from 1 species